rnacentral:rRNA from 1 species
CUACGGGUUGCUCCAGUGGGGAAUAUUGGACAAUGGGCGCAAGCCUGAUCCAGCAAUGCCGCGUGUGUGAAGAAGGCCUGCGGGUUGUAAAGCACUUUCGGUUGGGAGGACUGCUUCUAGCACUAAUAUUGUUGGAAGUUGACGUUACCUUCAGAAGAAGCACCGGCUAACUCCGUGCCAGCAGCCGCGGUAAUACGGAGGGUGCAAGCGUGAAUCGGAAUUACUGGGCGUAAAGCGCGUGUAGGCGGCUAGAUCAGUCGGGUGUGAAAGCCCCGGGCUUAACCUGGGAACUGCAUCCGAUACUGUCUAGCUUGAGUACAGGAGAGGAGAGUGGAAUUCCACAUGUAGCGGUGAAAUGCGUAGAUAUGUGGAGGAACACCAAUGGCGAAGGCAGCUCUCUGGCCUGAUACUGACGCUGAGGUGCGAAAGCGUGGGGAGCAAACAGGAUUAGAUACCCCCGUAGUC